rnacentral:rRNA from 1 species
UACAGAGGUGGCGAGCGUUGUUCGGAUUUACUGGGCGUAAAGGGUGCGUAGGUGGUCUUGUGUGUCGGACGUGAAAGCCCACUGCUUAACGGUGGAACUGCGUUCGAAACUGCGAGACUUGAGUGCAGGAGAGGAGAGCGGAAUUCUUGGUGUAGCGGUGGAAUGCGUUGAUAUCAAGAAGAACACCGGUGGCGUAGGCGGCUCUCUGGAAUGCAACUGACACUGAGGCACGAAAGUUGGGGGAG